rnacentral:rRNA from 1 species
GAUGAACGCUAGCGACAGGCCUAACACAUGCAAGUCGAGGGGCAGCAUAGGGGUAGCAAUACUCCUGAUGGCGACCGGCGCACGGGUGAGUAACACGUAUGCAAUCUGCCUACAACACUGGGAUAGCCCGUCGAAAGACGGAUUAAUACUGGAUAAUACAGGGGUUUCGCAUGGAACUAUUUGUUAAAGAAUUUCGGUUGUAGAUGUGCAUGCGCUCCAUUAGCUAGUUGGUAAGGUAACGGCUUACCAAGGCUACGAUGGAUAGGGGAACUGAGAGGUUUAUCCCCCACACUGGUACUGAGACACGGACCAGACUCCUACGGGAGGCAGCAGUGAGGAAUAUUGGUCAAUGGACGCAAGUCUGAACCAGCCAAGUCGCGUGAAGGAUGACUGCCCUAUGGGUUGUAAACUUCUUUUGUUGGGGAGUAAAAAAGAGUAUGUAUACUCUAUUGCAAGUACCCAGCGAAUAAGCAUCGGCUAACUCCGUGCCAGCCGCCGCCGUAAAAC